rnacentral:rRNA from 1 species
CCUACGGGUGGCAGCAGUGAGGAAUAUUGGUCAAUGGGCUUACGCCUGAACCAGCCAAGUAGCGUGCAGGAUGACGGCCCUAUGGGUUGUAAACCUCUUUUGUCAGGGAGCAAAGCCGGCUACGUGUAGCCGGACUGAGAGUACCUGAAGAAAAAGCAUUGGCUAACUCCGUGCCAGCAGCCGCGGUAAUACGGAGGAUGCGAGCGUUACCCGGAUUGUUUGGGUGUAAAGGGGGCGCAGCCGGCGAUGCAAGCCAGGAGUGAAAGCCCGGGGCCCAACCCCGGGACUGCUGUUGGAACUGGGUGGCUGGAGUGCAGGAGGGGUAGGCGGAAUUCCUGGUGUAGCGGUGAAAUGCGUAGAUAUCAGGAGGAACACCGGUGGCGAAGGCAGCCUGCUGGACUGCAACUGACGUUGAGGCCCGAAAGCGUGGGGAGCAAACAGGAUUAGAUACCCGAGUAGUC